rnacentral:misc_RNA from 1 species
GAUGAAGAACGUAGUAAAAUGCGAUAAGUAAUGUGAAUUGCAGAAUUCAGUGAAUCAUCGAAUCUUUGAACGCACAUUGCGCCCGCCAGCAUUCUGGCGGGCAUGCCUGUUCGAGCGUCAUUUCAACCCUCGAGCCCCCCCGGGGGCCUCGGUGUUGGGGGACGGCACACCAGCCGCCCCCGAAAUGCAGUGGCGACCCCGCCGCAGCCUCCCCUGCGUAGUAGCACACACCUCGCACCGGAGCGCGGAGGCGGUCACGCCGUAAAACGCCCAACUUUCUUCGAGUUGACCUCGGAUCAGGUAGGAAUACCCGCUGAACUUAAGCAUAUCAAUAAGCGGAUGA